rnacentral:rRNA from 1 species
GUGCACCAGUCGCGAAAACUCCGCAAUGCCCGAAAGGGUGACGGGGGAUUCCAAGUGCCUACGCUUAGCGUAGGCUGUUCAGGUGCCUAAAAAGCACCUGGAGGAAGGGCUGGGUAAGACGGGUGCCAUCUGUGGCAGCAGCCAAGAUUUGGCUUGCUACUGCAAGGCAUAAGCCGCCGCGGUAAUACCCGCAGCCCGAGUGGUAGUCGCUUUUAUUGGGCCUAAAGCGUCCGUAGCCGGUCUGGUAAAUGCCUGGGGUAAAUCGUGGGGCUUAACCUCACGAAUUCCGGGUAGACCUGCCAGACUUGGGACCGGUUGAGGGAGAGGGUACUCCGAGGGGUAGGGUGAAAUCAGCAAGGUAAGCUGAUGUAACUUGCCUUGCAAGUC